rnacentral:rRNA from 1 species
GACGGAGGAUGCAAGUGUUAUCCGGAAUUAUUGGGCGUAAAGCGUCCGCAGGUGGCUGUUCAAGUCUGCUGUCAAAGCGCAGAGCUUAACUCUGUACAGGCGGUGGAAACUGAAGAGCUAGAGUAUGGUAGGGGUAGAGGGAAUUCCCGGUGUAGCGGUGAAAUGCGUAGAUAUCGGGAAGAACACCAGUGGCGAAAGCGCUCUACUGGGCCAUAACUGACACUGAGGGACGAAAGCUAGGGGAGCGAAAGGG